rnacentral:rRNA from 1 species
CCAAUAGCGUAUAUUAAAGUUGUUGCAGUUAAAAAGCUCGUAGUUGAAUUUCGAGACCGGCUUAUUGGUCGUGCUUUUGUACGUACUGGUAAAUCGGUUUCUCCUUUCUGACGAACUUUAAUGCCAUUAAUUUGGUGUUUUAGGGAAUCAGGACUGUUACUUUGAAAAAAUUAGAGUGUUUAAAGCAGGCUCACGCUUGAAUACAUUAGCAUGGAAUAACGGAAUAGGACGUUUGAUUCUAUUUUGUUGGUUUCUAGGAUCGACGUAAUGAUUAAUAGGGAUAGUUGGGGGCAUUAGUAUUCAAUUGUCAGAGGUGAAAUUCUUGGAUUUAUUGAAGACUAACUACUGCGAAAGCAUUUGCCAAGGAUGUUUUCAUUAAUCAAGAACGAAAGUUAGGGGAUCGAAGACGAUCAGAUACCGUCGUAGUCUUAACCAUAAACUAUGCCGACUAGGGAUCGGAUGAUGUUAAUUUUUUAAUGACUCAUUCGGCGCCUUACG